rnacentral:tRNA from 1 species
GGGUGCGUAGCUCAGCGGUAGAGCGCCUGCCUUACAAGCAGGAUGUCGGCGGUUCGAAACCGUCCGCGCCCACC